UACGGAGGGGGCUAGCGUUGUUCGGAAUUACUGGGCGUAAAGAGCUCGUAGGCGGUUUGUCGCGUCUGCCGUGAAAGUCCGGGGCUCAACUCCGGAUCUGCGGUGGGUACGGGCAGACUAGAGUGAUGUAGGGGAGACUGGAAUUCCUGGUGUAGCGGUGGAAUGCGCAGAUAUCAGGAAGAACACCCGUGGCGAAAGCGGCUCUCUGGAACGGUACUGACGCUGAGACGCGAAAGCGUGGGGAGCGAACAGG
rnacentral:rRNA from 1 species